UACAGAGACUGCAAGCGUUAUUCGGAUUCACUGGGCGUAAAGGGUGCGCAGGCGGCCGAGUGUGUGAGGCGUGAAAGCCCGGGGCUUAACCCCGGAAUUGCACCUCAAACUACACGGCUAGAGCAUUGGAGAGGGUAGCAGAAUUCAUGGUGUAGCAGUGAAAUGCGUAGAUAUCAUGAGGAAUACCAGAGGCGAAGGCGGCUACCUGGGCCAAUACUGACGCUCAUGCACGAAAGCGUGGGGAGCAAACAGG
rnacentral:rRNA from 1 species